AUAACAAAAGUCUUUUUAGUUUAUAAAAAAUACUGAUUUUGUAAAUCAGGGAAACAUUUGUAGAAGAC
rnacentral:tRNA from 1 species